CAACAAUUGAAAGCCAAAAAGUCUCAAUGAUCCCAAUAGCUCAAUUAUUCGAGAGUAGAGAAAUUCGGUAAGUCUUUGGAGUCUAAUAUUACUAUGUAAGUAUAAAUUUUCUCUAUUUUUAAAUUACAAAUACUGGAUGCUUAAAGCUUGUAAAUUAUUUUUGGUUCUUGGCAAUGGUGAUCAGUUAACUAUUGUUGAAUUUAAAGCUUGUAAAUUUUUGAGAAGUCCCAUAACAAUUUUAAACUUGUAAAUU